UUCUGUUUUAAACACUGUCACUAAGUGCUGUGACCCAGGUCAUAGCUAAGUCCCUCUUCCAUCGGGAACCCAGUGUCAAAGCGAACAUUUGCCUGGCCGUGGGGCUGGUGAAGGCUGAGGGAAAGGAGGCCUGUUGUCAGUGGCAGGAUACAAUUUGCAAAAGAAACUAUUCAGUUUUUAUUUCCACUCCUUUGUCUCUUGGAGACGUCCUGGCGUCUGUUCAGCCGCUGUUCAGGGAUCUUGGCAUCAUAACGGAGGUUUGAAGCCACUGCCUCCCUGGGAUCGGAGAUAUGUGAUAUGUCCCAGUGUCCUUUGCAGGUCUGAAGGCCUUUGAACAUAAAAAAUAGAUUAAGGGAAAAGGCACAUUCCUAUGAUUUACUCCGAUGUACGCACUUCAAUCUAUGCAGAAGAGAGGCCCCAAAUCAUCCCCAGACCAACACACCGUCCUCAGCAAAGGACCCUCUUAACUCCAUCACUGAAGUCUCCAUUAAUCAGCCUGAUAUAUAGAUGUCAGGUUUUUCUGGCAGUUGAAACAUGAAGCACACAGCAUCAGCUGGGGAUUGCGUUUCAAGCCAUAAAGACCAUGUUUACAUGCUGGUUCUGUUUAAGAAUUUUCCCCUAUCAUUUUACUCAAAUGGCCUCCCAUUUUAUGAGAAAUAAAGUUAGAACUAAUAAAGGCAGCCCCUUCUGAGCUCGGCAAGGCA